CGUCAGCUCGUGUCGUGAGAUGUUGGGUUAAGUCCCGCAACGAGCGCAACCCUUAUCUUCAGUAGCCAGCAGGUAAAGCCGGGCACUCUGGAGAGACUGCCGGGGAUAACCCGGAGGAAGGUGGGGAUGACGUCAAAUCAUCAUGCCCCUUAUGAUUUGGGCUACACACGUGCUACAAUGGCGUAAACAGAGGGAAGCGAGCCCGCGAGGGGGAGCAAAUCCCAAAAAUAACGUCCCAGUUCGGAUUGUAGUCUGCAACCCGACUACAUGAAGCUGGAAUCGCUAGUAAUCGCGGAUCAGAAUGCCGCGGUGAAUACGUUCCCGGGUCUUGUACACACCGCCCGUCACACCAUGGGAGUCGGAAAUGCCCGAAGUCUGUGACCUAACCGCAAGGGAGGAGCAGCCGAAGGCAGGUCGGAUGACUGGGGUGAAGUCGUAACAAGGUAGCCGUAUCGGAAGGUGCGGCUGGAUCACCUC
rnacentral:rRNA from 1 species